rnacentral:rRNA from 1 species
UCCUUCGGGAAGUAAGACCCCUUGAAGACUACAAGGUAGAUAGGGCAGAGGUGGAAGUGUAGUAAUACAUGGAGCUGACUGUUACUAAUAGGUCGAGGGCUUGACCAA